CUCAGUGCUGCCAUCCAGGUUAGGUGGGAUAACUGAACCUCAGUUCUGCCCUCCAGCUUAGGUGGGAUAAAUGUACCAAAGUGCUGUCAUCCAGGUUAGAUGGGAUAACUGAUCCUCAGUGCUGUCAUCCAGGUUAGGUGGGAUAAAUGAACCUAAAUGCUGCCCUCCAGGUUAGGUGGGAUGACUGAUCCUAAGUGCUGC